GGGGUACCAAGACGGGAGUGUACUGUGGGGAGGGUAUUUAAUCUUAUUGACCGUUAUCCAUAGGUACUCCUUGUGCCCUGGGCUUGAGAUGCCACGUUGGUCAUUCUACAUUACAGACCACCAGUGUGACAUCCAUGAAGACCCUUAAGAGCCUUCAAAGCCUGUGCCUGCCCUCACUAUAUAACCGGAGUCCCUCUCAUGAUGCCACAUGGCCUCCAUUCAAAUGCUGAAUGCCUAUCAGAGAACAGACCAAAAGGCCUAUUUUAUAGAUGAAUCAAAGGAGGGUCCCCAAAUCUCAGAAACAGAAAAAGAAACCUAUGCAAGGCAAAAGGCGUCACCAGAGGGCCGGCUUGGCAAGGUUCCCUGUGAGCAAAGUCCUCUGCCCCCUCCUUCCAGCUCUUCAGAGUCCAGGGAGUCUUGGGCUCACAUCUUUCAGAACAGCAUUUCUUCCAGAGGCUGCCAGUGGAGUUGUCCAUAGCUCUUGGAAGCCUGGCCAGGCUUAAGAAACGGUGACAGAGACCAACUGAAGUCAGAGUAGGGCCAUGUGAAGCGCCCAACGGCCUCGAGGGAGCACGACUCAGGACCUUGGACCACUAUCUUCCUAGAAGACUGCAGGGGGAGCAGCUGGCAGAGCAGGGUACCCGUCACCACCAAGAGCCCCCUGUUUCAGAUGGGGCACUAAGGCUCUAAGACUGCUGAGCAGGCUGCUGAGUGGGUCCACUGCCACGCGGGGCCAUGGAAACGGCAGUGAUUGGCAUGGUGGCAGUGCUGUUUGUGGUCACCCUGGCCAUCACCUGCAUCCUCUGCUGCUUCAGCUGUGACUCAAGGACCCAGAAUCCUCAGGGGGGCCCGGGCCACAGCUUCACAGUGGCCACGUUUCGCCAGGAGGCUUUUCUCUUCACAGGGCCAGCUCGUCACACCCAGCCAGUGGCCAGUGCCCGGGACUUCUGGACCUUCAUGUGAGGCCUAAGGGCCCUCAGGAUUUUUUUUGCUGUUGGGUCAGACUCAUCCAUCCCCCAGCAAGACGGCCCCACUGCUCCGAGUCUGGCAUCCCUGCCUAUAUCCAGCAAACUCCCUCUUCCUUCCCAUCCCUGGUUGCUGUGCCCUUGGGCCUGCGAGAGCCACAGUGUUGGGACCAGGUGGGAGUCAGCCGUGACCUCUGAGAGCUCAGCUGGACCCCACCCACAAGAAGGGGCUUGGGAGAGGUUCGAAGAGUGAAUGAGUGAACAGUGUUGGAUUGGAUGGUGGGCGAGCCCUUCUGAUCUCCAGGGGAAGUGGAGUUUAUUGCAAACAGGGUCGGGGUAACUCAGGUUCCCCCGGAUGCCUACGAAACUGCUUUUAUUGCCACCAGAAGAAGCAGUGCCCUCAAGUGGACAUUUUUACAAAUCACUUCUUCUCUGCUCCCCUCAGUGAGUCUUUUUGCUGCUUGGUAUGUGUGCAUCCAACAGAGGCCUCCCCUGCCACUUGCCUGAAAUCAGCCCUGAAAUUCU
rnacentral:lncRNA from 1 species